rnacentral:rRNA from 1 species
AUUGAACGCUGGCGGCAGGCCUAACAAAUGCAAGUCGAACGAGUGGCGGACGGGUGAGUAAUGUCUGGGAAACUGCCUGAUGGAGGGGGAUAACUACUGGAAACGGUAGCUAAUACCGCAUACCAUCGGAUGUGCCCAGAUGGGAUUAGCUAGUAGGUGGGGUAACGGCUCACCUAGGCGACGAUCCCUAGCUGGUCUGAGAGGAUGACCAGCCACACUGGAACGGAGACACGGGACAGACUCCUACGGGAGGCAGCAGGGGGGAAUAUUGCACAAUGGGCGCAAGACUGAUGCAGAAAUGCCGCGUGUAUGAAGAAGGCCUUCGGGUUGUAAAGUACUUUCAGCGGGGAGGCGUUACCCGCAGAAGAAGCAACGGCUAACUCCGUGCCAGCCGCCGCGGUAAUAC